AUACGGAGGGUGCAAGCGUUAAUCGGAAUUACUGGGCGUAAAGCGCGCGUAGGCGGCUUGGUAAGUCGGAUGUGAAAUCCCCGGGCUUAACCUGGGAAUUGCAUUCGAUACUGUCAGGCUAGAGUGUGGUAGAGGGAAGUGGAAUUUCCGGUGUAGCGGUGAAAUGCGUAGAUAUCGGAAGGAACACCAGUGGCGAAGGCGGCUUCCUGGACCAACACUGACGCUGAGGCGCGAAAGCGUGGGGAGCAAACAGGAUUAGAUACCCCAGUAGUCC
rnacentral:rRNA from 1 species